GAUGAAGACGUAGCGAAAUGCGAUAAGUAGUGUGAAUUGCAGAAUUCAGUGAAUCAUCGAAUCUUUGAACGCACAUUGCGCCCCUUGGUAUUCCAUGGGGCAUGCCUGUUCGAGCGUCAUUUGUACCUUCAAGCUCUGCUUGGUGUUGGGUGAUUGUCUAUCUUUAUAGACUCGCCUUAAAGUCAUUGGCAGCCGGCAUAUUGGCCUGGGAGCGCAGCACAAGUCGCGCUUCUUGUCAUGAAUGUUGGCGUCCAGUAAGUCUACAUAUUUUGCUCUUGACCUCGGAUCAGGUAGGGAUACCCGCUGAACUUAAGCAUAUCAAUAAGCGGAGGA
rnacentral:misc_RNA from 1 species